rnacentral:tRNA from 1 species
AAAAAGGUAAGCUAAAUAAGCUUAUAGGUUCAUACCCUGUCCAUGAAAGCAUAAUCUUUCCCUUUUUA